AUUGAACGCUGGCGGCAGGCCUAACACAUGCAAGUCGAACGAGUGGCGGACGGGUGAGUAAUGUCUGGGAAACUGCCUGAUGGAGGGGGAUAACUACUGGAAACGGUAGCUAAUACCGCAUACCAUCAGAUGUGACCAGAUGGGAUUAGCUAGUUGGGGGGGUAACGGCUCACCAAGGUAACGAUCCCUAGCUGGUCUGAGAGGAUGACCGGCAAAAUUGGAACGGUGAAAGGGUCCAGAUACCUAGGGGAGGCAGCAGUGGGGAAUAUGGCACAUGGGGGGCAGGCGUGAUGCAGCCAGGCCGGGUGUAUGAAGAAGGCUUUCGGGUUGUAAAGUACUUUCAGCGGGGAGGGGUUACCCGCAGAAGAAGCACCGGCUAACUCCGUGCCAGAAGCGGGGGGAAUU
rnacentral:rRNA from 1 species